CAGACAUGUUUGAUAAUCUGUGGACUGUAAUUCCAAUGUAGUAAUUAUUACUUGUAAUUGUUGGCACCAAAAGUGUGCACCAUGUCGCCGCCAAAGUGGUCUCGGACAUUCAGAAGUAGUAGAUUGUGGUUGAUUAAAUUGUUGUUAUGGUAUCCCGUUAGAACCGUAGACAUUGGAAUUGUAUUUGUGUUGUAAAAAUGUUAGCGACCACCCCCACCCCCCGGAUCUUUGCUAUAGAUCUGUGUCUCGCUGAGGUGUACAUGAUUUGUCGCGUGCAAAAAUAAUGGGUCUUGGCGGAUUUUCGGCUUAAACGACGGAUUUCGAAUUUUGUGAGGUAUUUACACCGUUGUUUUGUGCGAGAACGGACCUUACGAGUUACGAUCAUCUCGUGUUG